GACGAACGCUGGCGGCGUGCUUAACACAUGCAAGUCGAACGGAAAGGCCCUGCUUUUGUGGGGUGCUCGAGUGGCGAACGGGUGAGUAACACGUGAGUAACCUGCCCUUUACUUUGGGAUAACUUCAGGAAACUGGGGCUAAUACCGGAUAGGAGCUCCUGCUUCAUGGUGUGGGUUGGAAAGUUUCGGCGGUUGGGGAUGGACUCGCGGCUUAUCAGCUUGUUGGUGGGGUAGUGGCUUACCAAGGCUUUGACGGGUAGCCGGCCUGAGAGGGUGACCGGCCACAUUGGGACUGAGAUACGGCCCAGACUCCUACGGGAGGCAGCAGUGGGGAAUAUUGCACAAUGGGCGGAAGCCUGAUGCAGCAAAGCCGCGUGCGGGAUGACGGCCUUCGGGUUGUAAACCGCUUUCGCCUGUGACGAAGCGUGAGUGACGGUAAUGGGUAAAGAAGCACCGGCUAACUACGUG
rnacentral:rRNA from 1 species